ACCUGAUGCAACAUUACUU
rnacentral:misc_RNA from 1 species